UGGGAUUUCAGACCGUGUCUCGGAAUGGCCCAUGAUCCGAAUAAGGAGUUGGUAGUAGUGCCUGGUGUGGAGGACAUCUGGGCGCCAUCCUCCAGGUGGGCCAUCCCUGGCUGCUUCCUGAUGGAGGAGGGGCACGCGGCCAGGACGGGGAAGUGACAGCGGAGUGCCCCAGAGCAGCGAGUCCCUUGCCUGGGCACUGCCCUUCCGUCGCGGGGAAGAAGGCCGUCUCUUUCCAACGCUGGGCAACGGGACCCCACCGUGCACUGCUGAAACCGUCCCGAGCUUGCCGGUUGGGAAGAUUGUCCCCGCUCUCACGGCCUCCAGACGGGAGAGGUGCCUCCACGGGGCGCAUGCGGACGGACGUCGCCAGCGGGCACGUGACUUUGAGCUGUCGGGGCUGGGGCUGCCUUGGAAGGAGCCGCGCACAUUCCUGGGGCCCUCCAGGUGUCACGUCCAAACCCUGCCGGAAGGCCCCACAGCUAUAAUAAGCUUUUUCAUGACGGGUCUUGGGAGGAAUUAGAAAUAUAACUUUUCAGGCGCUUACUGAUUAUCCAUGAAAGGGGCACGCCGUGAGAUUUGUGGCCCCCCCUUUUAAAGGCACUGAUUUCUAUAUUAAAACAAUAAAAUAUGUCCAAGG
rnacentral:lncRNA from 1 species